rnacentral:rRNA from 1 species
UACGUAGGCAGCAAGCGUUGUUCGGAGUUACUGGGCGUAAAGGGUGCGUAGGCGGUCCUAUAAGUAUGGUGUGAAAUCUCCCGGCUUAACUGGGAGGGUGCGCUAUAGACUGUGGGACUAGAGUGUGGGAGAGGAAAGUGGAAUUCCUGGUGUAGCGGUGAAAUGCGUAGAUAUCGGAGGAACACCGGUGGUGUAAACGGCUUUCUGGACCAUAACUGACGCUGAGGCACGAAAGCGUGGGUAGAAACAGG